CCUACGGGAGGCAGCAGUGGGGAAUAUUGGACAAUGGACCAAGAGUCUGAUCCAGCAAUUCUGUGUGCACGAUGAAGUUUUCGGAAUGUAAAGUGCUUUCAGUUGGGAAGAAAAAAAUGACGGUACCAACAGAAGAAGUGACGGCUAAAUACGUGCCAGCAGCCGCGGUAAUACGUAUGUCACGAGCGUUAUCCGGAUUUAUUGGGCGUAAAGCGCGUCUAGGUGGUUAUGUAAGUCUGAUGUGAAAAUGCAGGGCUCAACUCUGUAUUGCGUUGGAAACUGUAUAACUAGAGUACUGGAGAGGUAAGCGGAACUACAAGUGUAGAGGUGAAAUUCGUAGAUAUUUGUAGGAAUGCCGAUGGGGAAGCCAGCUUACUGGACAGAUACUGACGCUGAAGCGCGAAAGCGUGGGUAGCAAACAGGAUUAGAUACCCUGGUAGUCCACGCCGUAAACGAUGAUUACUAGGUGUUGGGGGUCGAACCUCAGCGCCCAAGCAAACGCGAUAAGUAAUCCGCCUGGGGAGUACGUACGCAAGUAUGAAACUCAAAGGAAUUGACGG
rnacentral:rRNA from 1 species